rnacentral:rRNA from 1 species
GGAGGGGGCGAGCGUUAUUCGGAAUUAUUGGGCGUAAAGGGCAGGUAGGCGGCUUUGUGUGUCCUCUGUGAAAGCCCUCGGCUCAACCGAGGAAUUGCAGGGGGAAACUGCAGAGCUUGAGUCCGGGAGGAGGGUAGGUGGAAUUCCCACGUGUAGCGGUGAAAUAGCGUAGAUAUUGGGUAGGAACACCAGUGGCGAAGGCGGCUACCUGGACCGGUACUGACGCUGAUCUGCGAAAGCUAGGGGAGCAAACGGGAUUAGAUACCCGGUACGUCCUGGCUGUAAACGUUGAGCACUUGGUGUGGCAGGUAUCGACCCCUGCCGUGCCCGUAGCUAACGCGUUAAGUGCUCCGCCUGGGGGGGUUACGGUCGCAAGGCUG